UACGUAGGGGGCAAGCGUUGUCCGGAAUCAUUGGGCGUAAAGAGCGCGUAGGCGGCCCGAUAAGUCCGCUGUGAAAGUCAAGGGCUUAACCCUUGAAUGCCGGUGGAAACUGUCGGGCUAGAGUCCGGAAGAGGCGAGUGGAAUUCAUGGUGUAGCAGUGAAAUGCGUAGAGAUCAUGAGGAAGACCAGUGGCGAAGGCGGGUCUCUGGACAGUUCCUGACACUGAGGCACGAAGGCCAGGGGAGCAAACGGG
rnacentral:rRNA from 1 species